rnacentral:rRNA from 1 species
UACGUAGGUGGCAAGCGUUGUCCGGAUUUACUGGGCGUAAAGAGCGCGCAGGCGGUCGUUCAAGUCGCGUGUGAAAGCCCCCGGCUCAACUGGGGAGGGUCACGCGAUACUGAUCGACUCGAAGGCAGGAGAGGGUAGUGGAAUUCCCGGUGUAGUGGUGAAAUGCGUAGAUAUCGGGAGGAACACCAGUGGCGAAGGCGACUACCUGGCCUGUUCUUGACGCUGAGGCGC